rnacentral:rRNA from 1 species
AGAGUUUGAUCCUGGCUCAGGACGAACGCUGGCGGCGUGCCUAACACAUGCAAGUCGAACGGCCUACUCGAUGUUCGAUAUUCGUGGUUCGAAGUACGAUUUAUUGAAAGAAUUUGUGGCCGAACGACCACAAAGACUACUUGGAUCGAACAUCGAAUAUCGAAUAUCGAACCUCGAGUCGGGCAGCGGCGGACGGGUGAGUAACGGCGUGGGUAACCUACCCAUAAAGCCGGGACAACCCUUGGAAACGAGGGCUAAUACCGGAUAAUCUUGAGUUGUGGCAUCACGAUUCAAGGAAAGAUGGCCUCUGAAAAUGCUAUCGAUUAUGGAAGGACCCGCGUCUGAUUAGCUAGUUGGUGGGGUAAAGGCCUACCAAGGCGACGAUCAGUAGCCGGCCUGAGAGGGUGAACGGCCACACUGGGACUGAGACACGGCCCAGACUCCUACGGGAGGCAGCAGUGGGGAAUCUUCCGCAAUGGACGAAAGUCUGACGGAGCAACGCCGCGUGUAUGAUGAAGGUCUUCGGAUUGUAAAGUACUGUCUUUGGGGAAGAACGGUUUUCUUGAGAAGAUUGAGGAGACAUGACGGUACCCAAGGAGGAAGCCCCGGCUAACUACGUGCCAGCCGCCGCGGUAAUA